CUCAGGCCUACUAGGUGUGUUGCCUCAGGCCUAUUAGGUGUGUUGCCUCAGGCCUACUAGGUGUGUUGCCUCUGGCCUACUAGGUGUGUUGCCUCUGGCCUACUAGGUGUGUUGCCUCAGGCCUACUAGGUGUGUUGCCUCAGGCCUACUAGGUGUGUUGCCUCAGGCCUAUUAGGUGUGUUGCCUCAGGCCUACUAGGUGUGUUGCCUCAGGACUGGAAAAAACAUAUGUUGUGGCUUUACACCCCCUGCUAUAGUGUGGAUAAAGGGUUACCUGUCGAACAGAACACAGAGACACAUAAUCCAGGUAGAAUCAGGAAAAUAGGCCCCUUACUUUUUAAAGGAAUUCGA
ensembl:lncRNA